GCCGGUAUAGCUCAUUUGGGAGAGCGUUAGACUGUUAACUCAACAGUCAUCUAAAGGCCCCCGGUUCAAUCCCGGGUUCCGGCA
rnacentral:tRNA from 1 species